UGGGGAAUAUUGGACAAUGGGCGAAAGCCUGAUCCAGCCAUGCCGCGUGUGUGAAGAAGGUCUUCGGAUUGUAAAGCACUUUAAGUUGGGAGGAAGGGCAGUAAGUUAAUACCUUGCUGUUUUGACGUUACCGACAGAAUAAGCACCGGCUAACUCUGUGCCAGCAGCCGCGGUAAUACAGAGGGUGCAAGCGUUAAUCGGAAUUACUGGGCGUAAAGCGCGCGUAGGUGGUUUGUUAAGUUGGAUGUGAAAUCCCCGGGCUCAACCUGGGAACUGCAUUCAAAACUGACAAGCUAGAGUAUGGUAGAGGGUGGUGGAAUUUCCUGUGUAGCGGUGAAAUGCGUAGAUAUAGGAAGGAACACCAGUGGCGAAGGCGACCACCUGGACUGAUACCGACACUGAGGUGCGAAAGCGUGGGGAGCAAACAGGAUUAGAUACCCCUGUAGUCCCUGAGCGGGCUGGCAAGGCGCAU
rnacentral:rRNA from 1 species